rnacentral:other from 1 species
ACGGUUAUAAAUCAACAUAUUGAUUUAUAAGCAUGGAAAUCCCCUGAGUGAAACAACGAAUUGCUGUGUGUAGUCUUCGCCCAUCUCCCACGAUGGGCUUUUUUUUAA